AACAUCGCGCACCUGCGGGAACCUGCGGAGGGAUCAUUACAGAGUUGCAAAACUCCCUAAACCAUUGUGAACGUUACCUAAACCGUUGCUUCGGCGGGCGGCCCGGGUCCUUCCCGGCGCCCCUCGGCCCUCGCGGGCGUCCGCCGGAGGUAAACCAAACUAUUGCAUUGUAUGGCCUCUCUGAGUCUUCCGUACUGAAUAAGUCAAAACUUUCAACAAUGGAUCUCAGAUCGGAAGAGC
rnacentral:misc_RNA from 1 species